GAGUUUGAUCCUGGCUCAGAUUGAACGCUGGCGGCAGGCCUAACACAUGCAAGUCGAACGGUAACAGGAAGAAGCUUGCUUCUUUGCUGACGAGUGGCGGACGAGUGAGUAAUGUCUGGGAAACUGCCUGAUGGAGGGGGAUAACUACUGGAAACGGUAGCUAAUACCGCAUAACGUCGCAAGACCAAAGAGGGGGACCUUCGGGCCUCUUGCCAUCGGAUGUGCCCAGAUGGGAUUAGCUAGUAGGUGGGGUAACGGCUCACCUAGGCGACGAUCCCUAGCUGGUCUGAGAGGAUGACCAGCCACACUGGAACUGAGACACGGUCCAGACUCCUACGGGAGGCAGCAGUGGGGAAUAUUGCACAAUGGGCGCAAGCCUGAUGCAGCCAUGCCGCGUGUAUGAAGAAGGCCUUCGGGUUGUAAAGUACUUUCAGCGGGGAGGAAGGGAGUAAAGUUAAUACCUUUGCUCAUUGACGUUACCCGCAGAAGAAGCACCGGCUAACUCCGUGCCAGCAGCCGCGGUAAUACGGAGGGUGCAAGCGUUAAUCGGAAUUACUGGGCGUAAAGCGCACGCAGGCGGUUUGUUAAGUCAGAUGUGAAAUCCCCGGGCUCAACCUGGGAACUGCAUCUGAUACUGGCAAGCUUGAGUCUCGUAGAGGGGGGUAGAAUUCCAGGUGUAGCGGUGAAAUGCGUAGA
rnacentral:rRNA from 1 species